CGAAGAAGCAGGAGCAGCACUGCUGUGAAGAGCUGCUUGUGAGAAAGCCACCCAGAAGGAAAAAGAAGACCCUGGUGGAACAUCGCACUCAUAAAACAGCAACAAAAAAGAAGAAACAACUAUGAAACAGAAAUAUUUGAAGACAUGGAGAGCUCAUGGCAAGAAACAGACAUAUUACUCCAGGGAGAUGGCAGUGGAAAGCCUUUCCCCUUUCUUUCAUCUCAUGGAAACACACUUCUGUA